rnacentral:rRNA from 1 species
GGCGGGUCCGCCCGCCGAUUGGACAAUUUAAACCAUUUGCAGUUGCAAUCAGCGUCUGAAAAAACUUAAUAGUUACAACUUUCAACAACGGAUCUCUUGGUUCUGGCAUCGAUGAAGAACGCAGCGAAAUGCGAUAAGUAGUGUGAAUUGCAGAAUUCAGUGAAUCAUCGAAUCUUUGAACGCACAUUGCGCCCCUUGGUAUUCCAUGGGGCAUGCCUGUUCGAGCGUCAUUUGUACCUUCAAGCUCUGCUUGGUGUUGGGUGUUUGUCUCGCCUCUGCGUGUAGACUCGCCUCAAAACAAUUGGCAGCCGGCGUAUUGAUUUCGGAGCGCAGUACAUCUCGCGCUUUGCACUCAUAACGACGACGUCCAAAAGUACAUUUUUACACUCUUGACCUCGGAUCAGGUAGGGAUACCCGCUGAACUUAAGCAUAUCAUAAGGGUGGAGGAAA